AGUUAAUGAACUUGUAUAAGUUUAUAUUUUGAAAAUAUAAGAAAGGGAUAAAUUCCCUAUUAACUU
rnacentral:tRNA from 1 species